AAUUUUGACAUUGGUGGAAUAAAUUUGGAUAAACCAAUCAGUGCAAAGCUAAAAGGAAGAACGAUAAGAAGUGAUGAGGUAAGGACUGAAUUUAAAGGGACCGACCACCUACUACAUGAAUUUGAGACGAGAUUGAACUCCUCGUCGGCGAGAUAUUUUCCUGGUCUAAGCUUCGUGGCACGUAGCAGUGCAAUAGCUCACGGAGGGGUAAUUUGCCAUCUACACGGUUACGACGACAUGGUGAAUUGGUCCUUGGCGUGGCCAAACCGAGGAAGCCGACAGCCACCAAAAUGAUCGUCGCUCCGCCAUGUCGCCGUCAAGUGGGCACGGUAGGGCAUAGCCCCGAUUCACCCCCCGGAUCUUUUCACUCUCCUGCCGAUCUUUUUGCUCACCGCGUAGACGCCGUCCUUAGCCUUGCGCGAAUCACGACGCUGAGUGUCACACCCGGGCUUUAAGGGACAAAGCCGGGUGCAUCUCAUACAUGCGCCAAAGAAGACAACAUAAAUAAUAACAGAGUGUAUAGAGAUAAUGUCACAAUAAAAUCAGAGUACUUAUUAUAUAGCGGAAGUCUUACAAAAUAAAAGAUAAAUAUAAAACGAACUAAGGAUCAUCCUUGGUGCAGCAAGUCAACUAGGAAAUGCCACCAAGAUCGAAUCGAACUCCUCCAUACGUGACUCCUCUUGAACCACCUGUUCUUCUCAUGUGGGGGUGUGAGACAGCAAGGGUGAGCUCACACAUGUUCAUCGCUCAACAAGUUGUGGGGAAUAAUGUGCAUGAACUCGCCAAAGGUGGGAGUUCAUGUGAUGUGUAAGGCUAAUCAACAACGGGGGUUAAAGCUGAGCAUUGCUUUUAAGUAGUUGGUCAAAAUUUUAUUAGUAGUUACUAAAUGUAAGUAAAUACCAAACCUUAAAUAAAGUAAUAGAACAAAAUUAAUAAUAAACCCAUGCAAUACAAAUGACAAAUUGAAUUUAAGUUCCAUAAAUUAAUCAUCAGAGAGUCCUGAGCUGCUCAUGACCGCGAGCAUGGCUAGUAUACCAGUUUUACACUCUGCAAAGGUUGUACCCUGUACCCACAAGUCGUGUAUCCCAUGUCGCAGGGUUAGCUAGACCCUUAGACACUAUCGAGAUGAAUGGCUAGGGAUCCACUACGAGGCCUUUACAAAGUUCCACUAGCUUCCGAAAACCCGCUACAGUUUAUGGGAAGAGCACUUGCAAGAAUCCCCCUCUUGACCGCCAUCGCAGCAAAAUCAAUCCGAGAACCUCCUUGCAUGCAAUCCCCUAUUGCCCUUGCCCCUUUCGGGUAAGGUAGUCUUCCACUAGCUUUCCUAGUUAGUUGGCCAAGGGCGUCCCAUUAAACCCUAGUGGUGGCACGUGUUUCUCAAGUUAAGCUCCUUGUUCCAAUUAACAUUAAUGAUCUUGACAUGAACAUAAACAGAAUAACAAAAGAAUUGGAACAUGGAUAUAAUGAAAUAUUAUCUCAAAAUCAUGUAAAGCAAUAGCAAAACUACCCAUGUGAUUCAGGGAUAACAAGGUAAAGAGAUAAACAUUCUAGGCUGACCUAUUGAGUCCCAUCAAAAUUAAACCUAUGCAUGGUAAAUGAUUAUAAAGAA
rnacentral:lncRNA from 1 species